UGAGGAAUAUUGGUCAAUGGGCGCGAGCCUGAACCAGCCAAGUCGCGUGAGGGAGGACGGCCCUACGGGUUGUAAACCUUCUUUUGCCGGGGAGCAACGGGCGUCACGUGUGGCGCCACUGAGAGUUACCCGGAGAAAAAGCAUCGGCUAACUCCGUGCC
rnacentral:rRNA from 1 species